rnacentral:rRNA from 1 species
AAUGAACGUUGGCGGCAUGGAUUAGGCAUGCAAGUCGAGCGAGAAGUGUAGCAAUACACGGAAAGCGGCGGAAGGGAGAGUAAUACCUGGGAAUCUGCCCUUAGACCUGGGAUAGCAGCGGGAAACUGCUGGUAAUACCAGAUAAUGUCUAUGGACCAAAGGUGUGAUUCCGUCUAGGGAUGAGCCCACGUCCUAUUAGCUAGUUGGUAGGGUAAUGGCCUACCAAGGCGAUGAUGGGUAGCGGGUGUGAGAGCAUGACCCGCCUCACCGGGACUGAGACACUGCCCAGACACCUACGGGUGGCUGCAGUCGAGAAUCUUCGGCAAUGGGCGCAAGCCUGACCGAGCGAUGCCGCGUGCGGGAUGAAGGCCUUCGGGUUGUAAGCCGCUGUCGAGGGGGAGCAACUUCCAUAGAGUUAUCUUUAUGGAUUGAGUGAUCCCUGGAGGAAGGACGGGCUAAGUUCGUGCCAGCCGCCGCGGUAAGAC